UAGGGAAUCUUCCACAAUGGACGCAAGUCUGAUGGAGCAACGCCGCGUGAGUGAUGAAGGGUUUCGGCUCGUAAAACACUGUUGUAAGAGAAGAAUGACAUUGAGAGUAACUGUUCAAUGUGUGACGGUAUCUUACCAGAAAGCCACGGCUAACUACGCGCCAG
rnacentral:rRNA from 1 species